UCUCCGUAGGUGAACCUGCGGAGGGAUCAUUACAGAGUUCAUGCCCUUACGGGUAGAUCUCCCACCCUGUGUUAUUAUUACCUUUGUUGCUUUGGCGGGCCGUCCGGCUUCGGCCAAGCUACCGGCUCCGGCUGGUAAGCGCCCGCCAGAGGACCUAAAACCCUGAAUGUUAGUGUCGUCUGAGUACUAUAUAAUAGUUAAAACUUUCAACAACGGAUCUCUUGGUUCUG
rnacentral:misc_RNA from 1 species